rnacentral:rRNA from 1 species
GAUGAACGCUGGCGGCGUGCCUAAUACAUGCAAGUCGAGCGAACGGACGAGAAGCUUGCUUCUCUGAUGUUAGCGGCGGACGGGUGAGUAACACGUGGAUAACCUACCUAUAAGACUGGGAUAACUUCGGGAAACCGGAGCUAAUACCGGAUAAUAUUUUGAACCGCAUGGUUCAAAAGUGAAAGACGGUCUUGCUGUCACUUAUAGAUGGAUCCGCGCUGCAUUAGCUAGUUGGUAAGGUAACGGCUUACCAAGGCAACGAUGCAUAGCCGACCUGAGAGGAUGAUCGGCCACACUGGACCUGAGCCACGGUCCAGACUCCUACGGGAGGCAGCAGUAGGGAAUCUUCCGCAAUGGGCGAAAGCCUGACGGAGCAACGCCGCGUGAGUGAUGAAGGUCUUCGGAUCGUAAAACUCUGUUAUUAGGGAAGAACAUAUGUGUAAGUAACUGUGCACAUCUUGACGGUACCUAAUCAGAAAGCCACGGCUAACUACGUG